rnacentral:misc_RNA from 1 species
UUGGAAUACCCUGUUAAAAACACCAACUGAAUUAAUGAGCACUUAUAAAAUUAAUAAGCAUAGAUGAAAUCACACACAUCAUUUUAGCCUCUUAGUAUAUUAUAAUGUUCCCAUGAGGCUACUGCAAGUUCAAAAAUUGAGAAAUUUUGUGAUGGACAAAAAAUGACAAGCAUGAUCUAUUUAAUUACAAAUUUAUAACAGUAAGUGAUCCAAACAGGUAGGAGUUGGCAGCUUGUAAGAACAACCUAUAAUGUGUCUAAAUUGAAGCAUGUGUAUCAAUAGCUUAUGCUGCCAAUUUUCAACUAAAUCCUAUAAAUGAAAGCAGCAUUAAGCAAGAAAUAUAGGCCUAAAUUCGUGAUUGUAACAGUUAUAACAGUAUUUACUCAUCAGAAACAUGAGUAUUCUAUAUGUUUUCGUUAUACCAUGAACAGAACUUGGCUUAAUUUUG